CCUACGGGGAGCUGCAGUGAGGAAUAUUGGUCAAUGGGCGUAAGCCUGAACCAGCCAAGUCGCGUGAGGGAUGAAGGUUCUAUGGAUCGUAAACCUCUUUUAUCAGGGAAUAAAGUGUGGGACGUGUCCUAUUUUGUAUGUACCUUAUGAAUAAGGAUCGGCUAACUCCGUGCCAGCAGCCGCGGUAAUACGGAGGGUCCGAGCGUUAUCCGGAUUUAUUGGGUUUAAAGGGUGCGUAGGCGGCCUUUUAAGUCAGCGGUGAAAGUCGGUGGCUCAACCAUAGAAUUGCAGUUGACACUGGGGGGCUUGAGUAUGUUUGAGGCAGGCGGAAUGCGUGGUGUAGCGGUGAAAUGCUUAGAUAUCACGCAGAACCCCGAUUGCGAAGGCAGCCUGCCAAGCCAUGACUGACGCUGAUGCACGAAAGCGUGGGGAUCAAACAGGAUUAGAUACCCUUGUAGUC
rnacentral:rRNA from 1 species